rnacentral:rRNA from 1 species
CCUACGGGGGGCAGCAGUGAGGAAUAUUGGUCAAUGGGCGCGAGCCUGAACCAGCCACGUCGCGUGAAGGAUGACUGCCCUACGGGUUGUAAACUUCUUUUAUAAAGGAAUAAAGUGAGGCACGUGUGCCUUUUUGUCUGUACUUUAUGAAUAAGGAUCGGCUAACUCCGUGCCAGCAGCCGCGGUAAUACGGAGGAUACGAGCGUUAUCCGGAUUUAUUGGGUUUAAAGGGAGCGUAGAUGGGUUGUUAAGUCAGUUGUGAAAGUUUGCGGCUCAACCGUAAAGUUGCAGUUGAUACUGGCAGCCUUGAGUACAGUUGAGGUAGGCGGAAUUCGUGGUGUAGCGGUGAAAUGCUUAGAUAUCACGAAGAACUCCGAUGGCGAAGGCAGCCUACUAAACUGCCACUGACAUUGAUGCUCGAAAGUGUGGGUAUCAAACAGGAUUAGAUACCCGAGUAGUC